rnacentral:rRNA from 1 species
UACGUAGGGGGCAAGCGUUGUCCGGAUUUAUUGGGCGUAAAGCGCCCGCAGGCGGUCGCGUCAGUUUGGGGUGACAGCUCCUGGCUUAACCGGGAGAGGACCUCGAAGACGGCGUGACUUGAGGGCCAGAGAGGGACAUGGAACUCCGGGUGGAGUGGUGAAAUGCGUAGAGAUCCGGAAGAACACCAAAGGCGAAGGCAGUGUCCUGGCUGGCACCUGACGCUCGAGGGGCGAAAGCGAGGGGAGCGAACGGG